GACGAACGCUGGCGGCGUGCUUAACACAUGCAAGUCGAACGGAAAGGCCCUGCUUUUGUGGGGUGCUCGAGUGGCGAACGGGUGAGUAACAAGUGAGUAACCUGCCCUUGACUUUGGGCUAACUUCAGGAAACUGGGGCUAAUACCGGAUAGGAGCUCCUCCUGCAUGGUGGGGGUUGGAAAGUUUCGGCGGUUGGGGUUGUACUCGCGGUUUAUCAGCUUGUUGGUGGGGUAGUGGCUUACCAAGGCUUUGACGAGUAGCCGGACUGAGAGGGUGACCGGCUACAGUGGGACUGGGACAGGGACAAGACUCAUACUGGAGCGAGAAGUAGGAGUGGGUAAACAAGGGGAGGAAGCCUGAUGCAGCAGCGGCGCGUGCGGGAGAACUAGCUGGGGGUUGUAAUGCGAUUUCGCCUGGGACGAAGCGAGAAUGACGGUAAUGUGUGAAGAAGCACCGGCUAACUACGUG
rnacentral:rRNA from 1 species